rnacentral:misc_RNA from 1 species
AAUUCUCAACCUCAAAAGCUUUUUUGCUUCUGAGGCUUGGAUGUGGAGGCUUUGCAGGCUCUUUCUUGAGUCAGCUCCUCUUAAAUGCAUUAGUGGAAACUGUUUGUAGUCCGCAUUGGUGUGAUAAUUAUCAGCGCUAUUGUGGCUACAAGCUCGAGUAGCGUUCGCGUGGAGAGUGCACCUAGUGCUCUUUCUGUUUUACUUGACCUACACGAGUAUAGUAUCUGCUUCAAACUGUCCUAAGUAACUGGACAACUUUGACUA